GGAUUGUGGCUCAAUGGUAGAGCGCUUGCCUAGUGUGUGUGAGGCACUGGGUUCAAUUUUCAGCACCA
rnacentral:tRNA from 1 species